rnacentral:misc_RNA from 1 species
CAAAUCUUCAGGAACUUCCACUUGUCUUAAAACCUUUUCCCUCUCUCUUACAAUCUAAAAUCAGUUUCGUCUGGGGAGAGGUCUGGCUUCUAGGCCGUCAACCCUCUCCCCCAUCUAUUAUUAUUAUUAUUAUUGUUUUAGUGAGAGCAUGACUCUCUCUGGUGGGGAAGAUAUUCUUUCCUCUUUUGUAUCUGUGAUUAGUUUUGUUUGUGUUUGUUAGUUGUUGGUCUGCAAGUGCUCUGCUUCAGUGUGAGGUUUUGGUGCAGAUCGUAGCAUGUGGUUUGGUUCUGACAUUAGGGAGCUCUCCCCAGUUACGGCAAUGUUUAUGGUUUAGAUUGGCCAUCAUAUGUCGGGGCUAUAGGAGAAUGAGACGCCGUUGCUUCUGCCUUGCAAUUCCCAGUUCUUCUGACAAUGGUCCUAACCCUUUGGUGCAUCUGGUGUUUGCUUCUUAACUCCCUAUUCUGUUUCUAUUUUGUGUGGAGAUUGAUGCAUAUGAGUAAGGAGUAGGACUCUCAGUUUCGAUUUUGCAAUUUCCUUCUGACUGUUUCAGGCUCCUUCGGCUGGUUCUGCCAGUAGAAGACGGCGCCCUUGAGGGCUUCCGAGAUGUGUUUCGAGUCAAUCGGGUUGUCUUUGGGUCCUUUGUUGUCUGGGCUUGAGGGACUUUUGUAGUUUUUUUGGGUUUUUGGGCUUUGUAAUCCUUUUCAUCGUGUAAUGCAAAUAUCGUUUCUAACAAUAAUAAAAAAAAAAAGGCGACAUGGAAAAUUU